rnacentral:rRNA from 1 species
GAUGAACGCUGGCGGCGUGCCUAAUACAUGCAAGUCGAGCGAACAGACGAGGAGCUUGCUCCUCUGACGUUAGCGGCGGACGGGUGAGUAACACGUGGAUAACCUACCUAUAAGACUGGGAUAACUUCGGGAAACCGGAGCUAAUACCGGAUAAUAUAUUGAACCGCAUGGUUCAAUAGUGAAAGACGGUUUUGCUGUCACUUAUAGAUGGAUCCGCGCCGCAUUAGCUAGUUGGGAAGGUAACGGCUUACCAAGGCAACGAUGCGUAGCCGACCUGAGAGGGUGAUCGGCCACACGGGAACUGAGACACGGUCCAGACUCCUACGGGAGGAAGCAGUAGGGAAUCUUCCGCAAUGGGCGAAAGCUUGACGGAGCAACGCCGCGUGAGUGAUGAAGGUCUUCGGAUCGUAAAACGCUGUUAUUAGGGAAGAACAAAUGUGUAAGUAACUAUGCACGUCUUGACGGUACCUAAUCAGAAAGCCACGGCUAACUACGUG